CAGAGAGGGAAACGUGAUAGGAGCGGGCAGAAUGGAGAGUGACGCAGAAAACACUCAAGUUGACGCAGUCGCCAAAAUAAUAUUUUUGGCCUCAUUGUUCUGCAGCGAUGAAAUUGCUGAUCUCCGUGUAAUCUUACACCCACACCUUGUAACCAAUCGAGUUGGCCUGACAUUUUUUUUAGACGCUUAAUAGCGCGAGCGCCGGGCCAAGGUAUAAGCGCAUAAUGUGCGGAGAUGUGCGCCCGCAUGCGUAAAACGGCAGCCGCCGCGGCCAGCGCCGCGUGUUUCCCUCCCAGCGCGCUGAGGCUUUAUUAUUUGUGACUGCCCUGUACUCGGAGCAUGCAGGGAUGGAGAAUUCAAGGAGGGGGGAGAAGAAAACUGUAUAUCAGGGAUACAGUCACCUCUAGAGGACACUAUUGUUCACCAGCCAUACAUCAACCGGCGUCUGCUCCUUACAAUUAGCCUUUUAAUUAACCUAACCCCAUUAAGGCUGUUUGCUCACGUCCUGCCGUUUUCACGUGGGCUCUAAGGCAGCAUUUGUGAAUUAUAUUUUCUUCAGAGUGGACUGUGACUAUUCAGGAGCAAAAUAUGGCCGUAAAAGUUCCCGUGUUUUUGAGUUCUAAUUACCCUGACCGCUCGUUGGCAGUGAUGGCGGCCGCUAAUUAGCCCACCGCCUCUCUCAUCGCCCGGGCCGAGGCAUCUAGUCUGACGUCUGGAUGCUGGCGGAUGUGUUGACGUCCGCUGGUCACGUGACGCACGCCCGCACAACAAAACAAAGUGUUCAGUCUGAAGACGCCGAUGACACUCCGCCGCGUGGUCACGCCGCGUGUUUACCAUUAUCCAUUUACCAUUUAGAAUUUAAAUGAAAACACAAUUAGCGGUUUAAUUGGCCAUUUUACGGAAGAAUAAUUAACUUCCCGUUUAUGUGCACAGUUAAUUGACAGCCGUUUGAAAGUGAGGAGUUAGUUUUAAUCACACUGAAGUUAUUUCCUGAAAUCAUAGUUCUAAAUUUGAGGAAAUGCCUGCUGACAUUACCAGUCGUAGGGCGCGUCCACGUGAGCGUGCGCGAGAGGUGAAGAGCUGGAAAAAGACGACGCACCUUUUUUGUUAUUCUCUUGCAUAUGUGCAUAGCUCUAUUGGUUAAUAAAGUGUUUGCAGGUGUCAAACAUUAGCAGCAGACAAGACAAUGACGUCAUCUCAAGGCCACAUGAUGCUUGUGGUUCCCCACAACACCCAGAUGAGCGACUGAUCGUUGCCUGGAAGGUCGCGUCUGGAUGAGAGAGCAUGCCACUGCGUGAUUGGCUAAAAGAGGUGCCAGUCAUCGCCCACACGUUUUCCUUUGGUUAUUGACGGAGUCCAGCCUACGUCACACAGAUCUCAAAACUGGCCCCGUGCAGGGAGACGAUUUCUCAUCAGGCUCCAGCAGCAGCAGCACCGAGCUCAUUCACGGAGGAGUCCGAUAUCUACAGAAAGCCAUCAUGAAAUUGGAUUACAAACAGGACAACACGGCGAUGCUCGAAUGAACCUCGCCAUCGCCCUCACUGCUGCCAGGUAUGGGGCUGCCAUGGCCAAUUAUACUGAAGUGGUGCACCUACUGAAGAGGGCAGAGCCACAGACGGGGAAGGAGAGGGUCCGCGGAGCGCACUGCAGGGAUGUGAUCACAGUUUCAAAAGGCUCCCUCAGUCACUGCCACUGAGCCACCCUGUGACACAAAGAGGCAAGAGGGAAAUUAGGGCAGGAAUUUGAUGUCAGAGCCAAAUGUGUUAUCAAUGCCACGGGACCUUUUACGGACGCGCCGCGGAAAAUGGAUGAUCAGAAGAACCCUGACAUCUGUCAGCCCAGUGCUGGGGUGCACAUCGUCAUCCCGGGCUAUUACAGGUUGCACGUUGAACUAGGACGGUGGAGCUGUGCACGGCCUCAACAGCACCUCCUCAAGCCACAAGAUCCACGUUUCAGCGGAUUCCAGAUUACAGGGACGUAUUCUGCAUCAGCAGCACAUUCUAAAGUUUUGACCAAACAGCAUCCUGUGCCGGAGAGCUGCUUGGAGCCUGGUGCCAUGGGACGAGCUCAGACGGAUGGAUUUCCACGCUAAUCCGUUUGAUGUAGCGGCGGGUCAGCAGAUAGCGGCGGAGCAACAGACACAUUGUUGGAUCCCCGCAGCAGCUGUCAGUUUGAGCGAGCGGCCGCCUCGCCCGGACAGAAUAAUCUAACGGGAGGAGGAAUAAAAGGAGGCCGGGAUCGCAGCCGCUCGCUGCAAGACGCCGCUUCCGUCUCCGUUAGUGGGACUGAGGAUAAAGCCGGCGCUUUUUUUAAAAGACAUCCCUCACGAUCCAAAACAGGCAAGCGGAGGAGUGAGGAGGUUCAUUUAUGACAAUGGGGCGUGAUGACAUCACACCAUAAAGCAGUCGGCGGGGUCAGACGGCGUGUGCCGCGCAGACGCCGAGGAUCGUGUCAACAACUGUGGGUUUUUUUUAUGGUACAAGUUGGAGGCUCUAACUCAGCAAUUCCCCACGGACAAACAGUUUAACACAACAAGCAUCAUUUUGUAAUGCCUUUUUAAUUAAUUUUUAAUAAACAAGCCAACUUGUAUUUAAAACUUCCUUCAAACAGAUCUUUCAGUGAUUAUUAAGAGCACCAGCACAAACUGUAUUGACUGAAAUGCAAAUGC